GGCCUGAUUUAAAUGCCAAUCCCACCACCUCCCUCAUAGGGUGAAGCUUAAAUGAGUUAAUACAUGUAAAUGCCUAGGACAGUCCUGGCAUAUAUAAAAGUGCCAAAAGAGUACAUUUUUUUUUAAAGGAAAAUAAGAGUGUGGCAAGGGCCCAGGUUCUUGAGCCUUUAUAUGAGUAAAGUCCCGUAAAAUGCUCUCUGAGACCCCUUACCGCAAAGCUUUGAUGAGCAGUCCUCAAUUCUAACUAUCUCUGUUCCCCUUUCAUUCAUUUGCGUACUAAUAUAUAAUCCUCAUUUUUCCCCCCACGCAUUCAUGAAUUGAUUUAGUCAUCCUCUCAUCAGUUCACAUGCACACCAUUCACUGAGGCCUCUCUGCGCAGGUCCUUGUUCCGGGCGUUGGGGCCGCGGGCAUGACACAGACAAUCCAUGCCCCAGUAAGGGAGUAUCUAUAGCAGUGCUGUGCAACAGGAAUACAAUGCAAGCCACGUAUGUGAUUUAAAUUUUUCUAGAAGCAAUGCUACGAGAGUAAAAAAACAGGUGAAAUUAACGUUAAUGUAUCUUAUUUAACGCAAUAUAUCCAAAUAUUAUUUAAACAAGUGAUCAGGGCAAGCAUUUAUUGAGAUGUUUAACAUUCUUUUUUUCUCGUACGAAGCCUUCGGAAUCGUGUGUACUUUACACUUACAGCACAGCGCAUUUGGACUAACCAACCACGUGAGGACCCUGGAGGCUAGCGGCUACCGUAUUAGUACAGGACGCUUUAGGUAGCUUUGUCGUUCAAACCUGCUCCAUCCCCUUCUUUUUGCCUCUCAGCGCCGUUUGACUUGCUCAGCAUCAUCUUCUGGACCUCGCUGCUGGGUGGUCUCUGGCUUCAAAGCCUGCCUUCUGCCCCGUCUUACUUUGUUCCCUGCAGGCGAGGACCUUCCACUUCACAGCUGACCUCUUCUCUGGAAUUUCUCCCACCCUUCUCACUUCUUCAGCGCUGGGUAGCCCCCACCUCUGCUUACCUCACUGCCGUCCUCCAGCUGGAAGAACAACAGCAUCUUACAGAUCCAUGUGGCUAAGCCCACCUGCCCCACCCCCACCCCACCAGGCUUAUCUGGCCACCGCGUCACCUCUCACUGACUCCGGGUGCCGUUCCCCACGGCUCAUUCUCUAACCCUCUCUGGUGUCCUGGGGCCCCACUCUUUUCUCUCCUCUUUCUCAACUGUUUACCUCUCAUUCUGCCACCACAUGUCCAGAGAAAUAGAGGUCAAAUGAUCGGAGCUCCACGAACAAGCCCACAUCUACCAAAACUCUCUCCAGACCUUCUGCUGCUUUCCUGCAUCCCAGAGGAAGAGCUGUCCUUCCAGGAUUCAGCAUUGAUCCCCUCCCCUGGGUCUCGUUUUGUCACCUCACAACUUCUCAGGACCCUCAGUUCCUUCUCUCUCUACACCCCCUUCCCGAUUUUCUCUCUUUAUUCCACAAAUAUUCUCAAGUUUGUCUUUUUCUGGAAACAAACCCUCCUUGGCCCUGAAGUCCAGCUCUUGCUCUCUGCUCAUCUAUUUCCUUAGUUGAGCUUCCUGUGCAUCUAUUCUCUGGCUCCACCUCUUGCUUCCAGAUCAAUCUCUAAACCACUCAGUCUGGCUUCUGUUCCUAUCAUGCCACCAAACCGUCUCCUGACGACACUGUCCUCUUUGUCCUUUUCUCAGUCAGUUCUUUCCCUUGCAGUCUUGGACAGAAUUGACCUGUCCCCCCGCUGCAGCAGAAUCACUAGGCUGCUUGCUAAAAAGGGAGAUCUUGGGGCGCCUGGGAUUCUAAUUUGAUCUAUUAACCCAAGUGGUCCUUCUUUUCUCCCUCUUCCUUCUUUCCUAACCCCUUCCCACCUUAAAAUUAGACCAUAAGGUUGAAACAUUUGAAGCUUACUACCCUGAGGAGGCUGGCAGAGCUGAAUGUAGAGUCAAAUUCUUGGCCUGCUUCAGAUUCUGUGAUUCCCUCUCUCUCUGUCCCUCCCCUGCUCGGUGCACUCUCUCUUUCUCUCUCUCUCUCUCUCUCUCUCUCUCAAUCCCUCAAAAAUAAAUAAAGGUUAAAAAAUACUAAAAACUGGGGUGCUUUGUCCAAGUUAGGUUGUUCAGAAAUAUUAAAUAGCAUGAUGGAAUGAUGACAUAUUUUGAAAAGCUUUAUUGAGAUAUAAUUCACAUACCAUACAAUUCAACCAAAGUGUACAAUUCAGUGACUCUUAGAUAUUCACAGAGUUGUACAAUCAUUGUCACAAUUUUAUAACAUUCUCAUCACCCCCAAAAGAAGCCUGGAACCUCUUUGCUGUCACUUCUAACUCCCUCAUCUUCCCAGCCCUAGGCAACCACUAGUCUCCUUUCUGUCUCUAUGGAUUAGCCUGUCCUACACAUUCCAUAUAAAUGGAAUCGUACAAUAUGUGACUUUUUUUUUUAAGUAGGCUCCAUGCCCAGCGUGGAGACCAACGCGAGGCAUGAACUCACGACCCUGAGAUCAAGAGCUGAGCUGAGGUCAAGUUAGAUGCUUAAUCGACUGAGCUACCCAGGUGUCCCAAUAUAUGACUUUUUCACUGGCUUCUUUCACUUAGCCUAAUGUUUUCAAGGUUCAUCUAUGUCGUAGCAUAUACCAGUACGUCAUUCCUUUUUUAUGGCUGAGUAACCUUCUACUGUAUGGAUAGACCACAUGUUAUUUACUCAUUUAUCAGUUAACUGAUGGCCAUCUGGGUUGUUUCCACUUCUCAGCUAGUAUGAAGAAUGCUCUGUGAACAUUCAUGUACAAGUUUUUGUGUUCACAUAUGUUUUCAUUUCUGUUGGAUAUACACCUCAGAGUGGAAUUGUUAGAUCAUAGGGUAACUCUGUGUUCAAUUAUUUGAGAAACUGCCAGACUGUUUUCAAAGCAGAUGCAUCAUUUUACAUUCCCACUUCCAAUGUAUGACCGUUUCAAUUUCUCCACGUCCUCGUGGACACUUCUUGCUAUCUUUCUUUCCAAACAUAGUCAUCUUGGUGGGAGCAAAGUGGCAUCUCAUGGUGGUUGUGAUUUACAUUUCCCUGAUGGCUAAUGAUAUUAAGCAUCUUUUCAUGGGCUUAUUUUAUGACAGUUGCUUAAUAACCUUUCCUCUUCCGCAUGCCACUGUUCUCAGAGAAAGCUUUCUUCCUGAGGAAGUGUCCUGUGAGGACAAAACACAGACAGUGUGGCUCAGCAACACUGACAGUCAUAGUGUACUAUUUCAUUUAGGCCACAGACUCAUGGCAAGUCUAUGCUUUCCUAGCUACCCAUUUAUUUUAGAAUUAGAAUGUCCAAGAUUUGUUCAAAGUAUUUUAGAAAAUACCUGCGACCAAGCAUGCCUACUCUACCUCUUCACCUCUCGCAUUCCUGAGAAGAAGCUCCAUCAUCCCAUGUCUAGUUGCGUAUUUUACGCCAUUUAAAGGAUGACAUAAAACAUUCCACGUUUACUUCCGAAAGAUCAGUGUUACAUCUUUGAACAAAGUAAACACAUCACAUGUAAGUUAGAACACUUAUCAAGAAAUGAGACACGUGCUCAAUAACCCUCCUUAUUGUGAAUACAACGCAUGCAGACAAGCAAUGAUGCAUGACCGUGUAGCUUAAUGAGUUCCUGUAAAUAUCCUUGUAACCACUAUUGAGUGCUAGAAAUAGAGCAUUGCCAAUACCUCAAAAGCUAUCUAGCCCCUUUCCAGAUUAUAAUCUCUUCUCUCCCCUCUGACCUUUAUGAUAAUGUGUUCCUGGGUUUUCGAUAUAGUUUUAUUAUCUAAAUAGGCAUUUCUGAAGUAUAGAUUAGGUCAGACUGUUUUUGAACUUCACAAGAAAAUUGUACAGUAUGAAUUAUCUUGUGUCUGGCUCCUUU